GCAGUAAUAUUGCCUGGCUGGAGGGCUGCUGAGAACAAUCAGGAGGUGACUUAUCACCUGGACAAGAGAAAAGCUGUGGACAUCAUACCUCAACUUCCAGAAAGCCUUUGACCUGGUAUCCCACGAGGGUCUGAUCAGAAAACUGGAAGAUAUCGGGCUCAACUGUGGGACCGUCAAGGGGCGGGACCCAAUGAUUCUUCAGGUUCUCUUCCAGCCCUAUGAUUCUAUGAUUGUACAUAAAGGCUUCAGUUUGCUGCUGCCAAGCCAGGAGAAACUUCACCUAGCUGAGCUGCAGCAGAAACAACCCAGGAGACAAACUGUGUUCAACAGACUGAGUAGAUCUCACUCCAGUGCAAAAUGGAUAGAUGUCAGCAGCACUAGUGAUACCUUUUGUCAGUCCAAAUAAAGAGACUGAGGAUUAAACUGACAGAGCAAGAGAACUGCCUCCAGUUUUGUCACUGAACUUAUGUCUAAACUGCAAAUUUACCAUGCCUCUAUUCAAAUACAAUGUGUGACUACACUUGUGCUCCUUCCCAGAUGACAUGCAGUAUAGCAGCGUCCAUGUGAUGCCAAGGUGGGCUAUUUAUCACAGCUGAGAAUUGGUGACAGUUAGGCCAUGCAUAGCAUCACAUGAAGUUGUCUACACUACUUCCAGCCUGGGUGGCAGUGUGUGUGUAGCUCAACAAAAUGUAUAAGGACACCAGAACAGGUUAUAAUAUAUUUGUUGUUUAGGUGUGGCCUGAGACCCAUUGGGAGUAAUGGUUGGCUCUGGCUCUCAUGCUCACUCUCUGAUUUGGAGCACAAUAGGGCCAUUUGUGCAAGCAGAGAAAUCCUUCUGGGUAGCUUGUAGUGACUACUUCUGUUAGGGUAUAUACAAAUGUUACAUUUAAAUCAACCUAACUAGGGUUAGGUCAAUCCAAAUAUCUGUGCAGGCAUUUGGGAAUGUUAAAUUGGGCAAAAAAAUGGCAGGCCCAAUCUAAAUCAGUUUGCUUGGGUUAGCCUGAUCUAGUAAAAUCUGCACACAUUUGGAGCACGGCCCUGGGAGGGGGAAGGCCCAGCCACUUGUCCCAGUUCUGAGGCUUCACUCUUCCUGCCUCAUGCAAUACUACACUUUCUCAAUCCCACACCUUCUCAAGCCCUCUUGCAAUCCCAUACCUUCUCAAGCCCUUUUGGUUUUUUUUUUGUUUGUUUGUUUUUUAUGAUGUCUUCCUUUUUCAGACAUUUAAUGCAGGAUAAUAAUAGGUAGACUUGAAAAACUUCAAGUGAAUCUGAGCCCCAAACAGUGUCUUUAAACAAUUUCACUUCUUGCCUCUGGAACCGGGGAGAGUGGGCCUGGGAAGGAAGUUCAGCAGCUCAUGUUGCUGGUCCCUAAAAGUGGUAGAAGAAAUGGAAA